GUAGGUGGCAAGCGUUGUCCGGAAUUAUUGGGCGUAAAGCGCGCGCAGGCGGUUUUUUAAGUCUGAUGUGAAAGCCCACGGCUCAACCGUGGAGGGUCAUUGGAAACUGGAGAACUUGAGUACAGAAGAGGAAAGCGGAAUUCCACGUGUAGCGGUGAAAUGCGUAGAGAUGUGGAGGAACACCAGUGGCGAAGGCGGCUUUCUGGUCUGUAACUGACGCUGAGGCGCGAAAGCGUGGGGAGCAAACAGGGAUUAGAUACCCUGGUAGUCCACGCCGUAAACGAUGAGUGCUAAGUGUUUGGGGGUUUCCGCCCCCUUAGUGCUGCAGCUAACGCAUUAAGCACUCCGCCUGGGGAGUACGGCCGCAAGGCUG
rnacentral:rRNA from 1 species